rnacentral:rRNA from 1 species
AAAGCCAAAAUUACCUGUACCCGAAACCGACACAGGUGGGUAGGUAGAGAAUACCAAGGAGCGCGAGAUAACUCUCUCUAAGGAACUCGGCAAAAUGGCCCCGUAACUUCGGGAGAAGGGGUGCCACCGAGAGGUGGUCGCAGUGAAAUGAUCCAAGCGACUGUUUACCAAAAACACAGGUCUCCGCUAACUCGCAAGAGGAAAUAUGGGGGCUGACGCCUGCCCAGUGCCGGAAGGUUAAGGAAGUCGGUCAGGGCGCAAGCCUAAAGCUGGCGACUGAAGCCCCGGUGAACGGCGGCCGUAACUAUAACGGUCCUAAGGUAGCGAAAUUCCUUGUCGGGUAAGUUCCGACCCGCACGAAAGGCGUAACGAUUUGGAUGCUGUCUCGGAGAGAGACUCGGCGAAAUAGGAAUGUCUGUGAAGAUACGGACUACUUGCACCCGGACAGAAAGACCCUAUGAAGCUUUACUAUAACUUGGAAUUGGGUUCGGGCUUUUCUUGCGCAGAAUAGGUGGGAGGCUAAGAUAGACCCCUUGUGGGGGGUAAGGAGCCAACAGUGAGAUACCACUCUGGAAAGGCUAGAAUUCUAACCUUUACCCUUGAAUCAGGGAGAGGAACAGUUUCAGGCGGGUAGUUUGACUGGGGCGGUCGCCUCCUAAAUGAUAACGGAGGCGCGCAAAGGUUCCCUCAGGCUGGUCGGAAAUCAGCCGUAGAGUGCAAAAGCAUAAGGGAGCUUGACUGCGAGACCAACAAGUCGAGCAGGGACGAAAGUCGGCUUUAGUGAUCCGACGGCACAGCGUGGAAUGGCCGUCGCUCAUCGGAUAAAAGUUACUCUAGGAUAACAGGCUGAUCUCCCCCAAGAGUUCACAUCGACGGGGAGGUUUGGCACCUCGAUGUCGGCUCAUCGCAACCUGUGCGGAAGUACGUGCCAAGGGUUGGGCUGUUCGCCCAUUAAAGCGGUACGUGAGCUGGGUUCAGAACGUCGUGAGACAGUUCGGUCCAUAUCCGGUGCAAGCGCAAGAGUAUUGAGAGGACUCCUCCUUAGUACGAGAGGACCGGGAGGAACGCACCGCUGGUGUACCAGUUAUCGUGCCAACGGUAAACGCUGGGUAGCCAUGUGCGGAGAGGAUAACCGCUGAAAGCAUCUAAGUGGGAAGCCCACCUCAAGAUGAGUACUCUCAUGGCAAAAGCCAGUAAGGUCACAAGAAGAACACUUGUUAAUAGGCGGUAGGUGGAAGUGCAGUAAUGUAUGUAGCCGAGCCGUACUAAUAGACCGAGGGCUUGUCC